rnacentral:rRNA from 1 species
UUUGUUCUUCGGAACAGAGAGAGCGGCGUACGGGUGCGUAACACGUGUGCAACCUACCUUUAUCAGGGGAAUAGCCUUUCGAAAGGAAGAUUAAUACUCCAUAAUAUAUUUAAUGGCAUCAUUAGAUAUUGAAAACUCCGGUGGAUAGAGAUGGGCACGCGCAAGAUUAGAUAGUUGGUGAGGUAACGGCUCACCAAGUCUGUGAUCUUUAGGGGUCCUGAGAGGGAGAUCCCCCACACUGGUACUGAGACACGGACCAGACUCCUACGGGAGGCAGCAGUGAGGAAUAUUGGACAAUGGGUGAGAGCCUGAUCCAGCCAUCCCGCGUGAAGGAUUAAGGUCCUACGGAUUGUAAACUUCUUUUGUACAGGAAUAAACCUAUUUACGUGUAAAUAGCUGAAGGUACUGUACGAAUAAGCACCGGCUAACUCCGUGCCAGCAGCCGCGGUAAUACGGAGGGUGCAAGCGUUAUCCGGAUUUAUUGGGUUUAAAGGGUCCGCAGGCGGACUGAUAAGUCAGUGGUGAAAUCUCAUAGCUUAACUAUGAAACUGCCAUUGAUACUGUUGGUCUUGAGUAAAUUUGAGGUAGCUGG